rnacentral:rRNA from 1 species
AGCGUACACGGUGGAUGCCCUGGCAGUCAGAGGCGAUGAAGGACGUGCUAAUCUGCGAUAAGCGUCGGUAAGGUGAUAUGAACCGUUAUAACCGGCGAUUUCCGAAUGGGGAAACCCAGUGUGUUUCGACACACUAUCAUUAACUGAAUCCAUAGGUUAAUGAGGCGAACCGGGGGAACUGAAACAUCUAAGUACCCCGAGGAAAAGAAAUCAACCGAGAUUCCCCCAGUAGCGGCGAGCGAACGGGGAGSAGCCCAGAGCCUGAAUCAGUGUGUGUGUUAGUGGAAGCGUCUGGAAAGGCGCGCGAUACAGGGUGACAGCCCCGUACACAAAAAUGCACAURYUGUGAGCUCGAUGAGUAGGGCGGGACACGUGGUAUCCUGUCUGAAUAUGGGGGGACCAUCCUCCAAGGCUAAAUACUCCUGACUGACCGAUAGUGAACCAGUACCGUGAGGGAAAGGCGAAAAGAACCCCGGCGAGGGGAGUGAAAAAGAACCUGAAACCGUGUACGUACAAGCAGUGGGAGCAYGCUUAGGCGUGUGACUGCGUACCUUUUGUAUAAUGGGUCAGCGACUUAUAUUCUGUAGCAAGGUUAACCGAAUAGGGGAGCCGAAGGGAAACCGAGUCUUAACUGGGCGUUAAGUUGCAGGGUAUAGACCCGAAACCCGGUGAUCUAGCCAUGGGCAGGUUGAAGGUUGGGUAACACUAACUGGAGGACCGAACCGACUAAUGUUGAAAAAUUAGCGGAUGACUUGUGGCUGGGGGUGAAAGGCCAAUCAAACCGGGAGAUAGCUGGUUCUCCCCGAAAGCUAUUUAGGUAGCGCCUCGUGAAUUCAUCUCCGGGGGUAGAGCACUGUUUCGGCAAGGGGGUCAUCCCGACUUACCAACCCGAUGCAAACUGCGAAUACCGGAGAAUGUUAUCACGGGAGACACACGGCGGGUGCUAACGUCCGUCGUGAAGAGGGAAACAACCCAGACCGCCAGCUAAGGUCCCAAAGUCAUGGUUAAGUGGGAAACGAUGUGGGAAGGCCCAGACAGCCAGGAUGUUGGCUUAGAAGCAGCCAUCAUUUAAAGAAAGCGUAAUAGCUCACUGGUCGAGUCGGCCUGCGCGGAAGAUGUAACGGGGCUAAACCAUGCACCGAAGCUGCGGCAGCGACGCUUAUGCGUUGUUGGGUAGGGGAGCGUUCUGUAAGCCUGUGAAGGUGUGCUGUGAGGCAUGCUGGAGGUAUCAGAAGUGCGAAUGCUGACAUAAGUAACGAUAAAGCGGGUGAAAAGCCCGCUCGCCGGAAGACCAAGGGUUCCUGUCCAACGUUAAUCGGGGCAGGGUGAGUCGACCCCUAAGGYGAGGCCGAAAGGCGUAGUCGAUGGGAAACAGGUUAAUAUUCCUGUACUUGGUGUUACUGCGAAGGGGGGACGGAGAAGGCUAUGUUGGCCGGGCGACGGUUGUCCCGGUUUAAGCGUGUAGGCUGGUUUUCCAGGCAAAUCCGGAAAAUCAAGGCUGAGGCGUGAUGACGAGGCACUACGGUGCUGAAGCAACAAAUGCCCUGCUUCCAGGAAAAGCCUCUAAGCAUCAGGUAACAUCAAAUCGUACCCCAAACCGACACAGGUGGUCAGGUAGAGAAUACCAAGGCGCUUGAGAGAACUCGGGUGAAGGAACUAGGCAAAAUGGUGCCGUAACUUCGGGAGAAGGCACGCUGAUAUGUAGGUGAAGUCCCUCGCGGAUGGAGCUGAAAUCAGUCGAAGAUACCAGCUGGCUGCAACUGUUUAUUAAAAACACAGCACUGUGCAAACACGAAAGUGGACGUAUACGGUGUGACGCCUGCCCGGUGCCGGAAGGUUAAUUGAUGGGGUCAGCGCAAGCGAAGCUCUUGAUCGAAGCCCCGGUAAACGGCGGCCGUAACUAUAACGGUCCUAAGGUAGCGAAAUUCCUUGUCGGGUAAGUUCCGACCUGCACGAAUGGCGUAAUGAUGGCCAGGCUGUCUCCACCCGAGACUCAGUGAAAUUGAACUCGCUGUGAAGAUGCAGUGUACCCGCGGCAAGACGGAAAGACCCCGUGAACCUUUACUAUAGCUUGACACUGAACAUUGAGCCUUGAUGUGUAGGAUAGGUGGGAGGCUUKGAAGUGUGGACGCCAGUCUGCAUGGAGCCGACCUUGAAAUACCACCCUUUAAUGUUUGAUGUUCUAACGUUGACCCGUAAUCSGGGUUGCGGACAGUGUCUGGUGGGUAGUUUGACUGGGGCGGUCUCCUCCUAAAGAGUAACGGAGGAGCACGAAGGUUGGCUAAUCCUGGUCGGACAUCAGGAGGUUAGUGCAAUGGCAUAAGCCAGCUUGACUGCGAGCGUGACGGCGCGAGCAGGUGCGAAAGCAGGUCAUAGUGAUCCGGUGGUUCUGAAUGGAAGGGCCAUCGCUCAACGGAUAAAAGGUACUCCGGGGAUAACAGGCUGAUACCGCCCAAGAGUUCAUAUCGACGGCGGUGUUUGGCACCUCGAUGUCGGCUCAUCACAUCCUGGGGCUGAAGUAGGUCCCAAGGGUAUGGCUGUUCGCCAUUUAAAGUGGUACGCGAGCUGGGUUUAGAACGUCGUGAGACAGUUCGGUCCCUAUCUGCCGUGGGCGCUGGAGAACUGAGGGGGGCUGCUCCUAGUACGAGAGGACCGGAGUGGACGCAUCACUGGUGUUCGGGUUGUCAUGCCAAUGGCACUGCCCGGUAGCUAAAUGCGGAAGAGAUAAGUGCUGAAAGCAUCUAAGCACGAAACUUGCCCCGAGAUGAGUUCU